rnacentral:rRNA from 1 species
AGUGAACGCUGGCGGUAGGCCUAACACAUGCAAGUCGAACGGCAGCACAGUAAGAGCUUGCUCUUACGGGUGGCGAGUGGCGGACGGGUGAGGAAUACAUCGGAAUCUACUUUUUCGUGGGGGAUAACGUAGGGAAACUUACGCUAAUACCGCAUACGACCUACGGGCGAAAGCAGGGGACCUUCGGACCUUGCGCGAUUGAAUGAGCCGAUGUCGGAUUAGCUAGUUGGCGGGGUAAAGGCCCACCAAGGCGACGAUCCGUAGCUGGUCUGAGAGGAUGAUCAGCCACACUGGAACUGAGACACGGUCCAGACUCCUACGGGAGGCAGCAGUGGGGAAUAUUGGACAAUGGGCGCAAGCCUGAUCCAGCCAUACCGCGUGGGUGAAGAAGGCCUUCGGGUUGUAAAGCCCUUUUGUUGGGAAAGAAAAGCAGCAGGUUAAUACCCCGCUGUUCUGACGGUACCCAAAGAAUAAGCACUGGCUAACUUCGUG